rnacentral:rRNA from 1 species
AGAGUUUGAUCAUGGCUCAGGAUGAACGCUAGCUACAGGCUUAACACAUGCAAGUCGAGGGGCAGCAUGGUCUUAGCUUGCUGAGGCCGAUGGCGACCGGCGCACGGGUGAGUAACACGUAUCCAACCCGCCGUCUACUCUUGGACAGCCUUCUGAAAGGAAGAUUAAUACAAGAUGGCAUCAUGAGUCCGCAUGUUCACAUGAUUAAAGGUAUUCCGGUAGACGAUGGGGAUGCGUUCCAUUAGAUAGUAGGCGGGGUAACGGCCCACCUAGUCUUCGAUGGAUAGGGGUUCUGAGAGGAAGGUCCCCCACAUUGGAACUGAGACACGGUCCAAACUCCUACGGGAGGCAGCAGUGAGGAAUAUUGGUCAAUGGGCGAGAGCCUGAACCAGCCAAGUAGCGUGAAGGAUGACUGCCCUAUGGGUUGUAAACUUCUUUUAUAAAGGAAUAAAGUCGGGUAUGCAUACCCGUUUGCAUGUACUUUAUGAAUAAGGAUCGGCUAACUCCGUGCCAGCAGCCGCGGUAAUACGGAGGAUCCGAGCGUUAUCCGGAUUUAUUGGGUUUAAAGGGAGCGUAGAUGGAUGUUUAAGUCAGUUGUGAAAGUUUGCGGCUCAACCGUAAAAUUGCAGUUGAUACUGGAUAUCUUGAGUGCAGUUGAGGCAGGCGGAAUUCGUGGUGUAGCGGUGAAAUGCUUAGAUAUCACGAAGAACUCCGAUUGCGAAGGCAGCCUGCUAAGCUGCAACUGACAUUGAGGCUCGAAAGUGUGGGUAUCAAACAGGAUUAGAUACCCUGGUAGUCCACACGGUAAACGAUGAAUACUCGCUGUUUGCGAUAUACAGCAAGCGGCCAAGCGAAAGCGUUAAGUAUUCCACCUGGGGAGUACGCCGGCAACGGUGAAACUCAAAGGAAUUGACGGGGGCCCGCACAAGCGGAGGAACAUGUGGUUUAAUUCGAUGAUACGCGAGGAACCUUACCCGGGCUUAAAUUGCAGAUGAAUUACGGUGAAAGCCGUAAGCCGCAAGGCAUCUGUGAAGGUGCUGCAUGGUUGUCGUCAGCUCGUGCCGUGAGGUGUCGGCUUAAGUGCCAUAACGAGCGCAACCCUUGUUGUCAGUUACUAACAGGUUCUGCUGAGGACUCUGACAAGACUGCCAUCGUAAGAUGUGAGGAAGGUGGGGAUGACGUCAAAUCAGCACGGCCCUUACGUCCGGGGCUACACACGUGUUACAAUGGGGGGUACAGAGGGCCGCUACCACGCGAGUGGAUGCCAAUCCCCAAAACCUUUCUCAGUUCGGACUGGAGUCUGCAACCCGACUCCACGAAGCUGGAUUCGCUAGUAAUCGCGCAUCAGCCACGGCGCGAUGAAUACGUUCCCGGGCCUUGUACACACCGCCCGUCAAGCCAUGGGAGCCGGGGGUACCUGAAGUGCGUAACCGCGAGGAGCGCCCUAGGGUAAAACUGGUGACUGGGGCUAAGUCGUAACAAGGUA